ensembl:snRNA U6 U6 spliceosomal RNA
GUGUUUUGGCAGCACAUGUAGUAAAAUUAAAAGGGUCCUAAGAAGAUGGGCAUUACCCCUGUGGAAGGAAAUCACGCAAAUUCAUGAAGUGGUUCAUAUUUGG